AAACUCAACCAAAGCAAUUUGAAAUUCUCGUGGAUUUCAUGAAGGCGCAUCCUAAUUUAUCGAAAGGAUCACUAAAAACACCAGACGCCAAAAAUACCUCCAAUAAUUUAUGGAAAAAUUUAGUUUCCUAUUUAAACGCAGCAGGGCCACCAUUGCGCGACAUUGCGGGGUGGAAGAAGGUUUGGGCAGACUAUAAGAUUCACUUAAAGGCAAAAAUGCGACGAAACAAAAAUAAUAUUUCGGGAACUGGAGGUGGUCCCUCACUUUUCAUAUCCUUAUCACAGUUAGAGCAACAAGUGAGUGAGUUAUUGUCAAUAGAGGAAUCAAUAAAUGGAAUGAGUGGUACCUUGUCAUUCGGUGCAGCUACAAGCAGCAUGUCGGAGGUAAAUGCAGACCCUACCGAACCAAAUACACACAACAGGGAACUACCACAAUGUUCCAAAGUGGCAUGCACACCUCACAAAAAACAGCAGACUCCUCUUAAUACACAAGAAAAUGAACUACCACAUUGUUCAAAUGUGACGUACCCACCGCGCAAAAAACAGCAGACUCUGCUUGAACAACAAGUCGAAAACCAAAUUAUAUUCCACAAUAACUCGAUUAAAGUGUUAAACGAUAUAAAUUUUAAUAUAAAAAACAUUUUUAAAACAUUGAAAAAAGAAAUAAAUUAGAAAAACGGAGACUAACCUUUGAAAAGGAAAAAUUUCUAUAUAAACAAAAAAUUGAUGAACAAAAAUUGAGAAACUGGAAAAUUUCGUCCUCAAACUUUCACGUUCUCCUGAGAGGUUCCAUACGUGGGAGUCAUGCGACGCUCCUCCAAAUCUACCAUUUGCUGCCCUUAUCUGCAUUUUGUGAUCACAUAUCUAAAAAAAGUUUUAAGUCAUUGCACUGGA